rnacentral:rRNA from 1 species
CAAGUCGAACGCGCAGCAUUCUGUAGCAAUACAGGGUGUGGGCGCGUGGCGAACGGGUGCGUAACACGUGGAUAACCUUCCUUGAGGUGGGGAAUAACCCAGUGAAAAUUGGGCUAAUACCGCAUAACAUCGCGAUGGCACAUGCUGAUGCGAUCAAAGGCGCAAGUCGCCACAAGAGGGAUCCGCGGCCGAUUAGCUUGUUGGCGAGGUAAUGGCUCACCAAGGCAAUGAUCGGUAGCCGGACUGAGAGGUUGGCCGGCCACACUGGAACUGAGACACGGUCCAGACUCCUACGGGAGGCAGCAGUGGGGAAUCUUGCACAAUGGACGAAAGUCUGAUGCAGCAACGCCGCGUGGGGGAUGAAGCUUCUCGGAGUGUAAACCCCUUUCGACCCGGAAGAAUGCCCGCAAGGGUAUGACGGUACGGGUAUAAGAAGCCCCGGCUAACUACGUGCCAGCAGCCGCGGUAAUACGUAGGGGGCCAGCGUUGCUCGGAAUUACUGGGCGUAAAGGGUCCGUAGGCGGUGUAGCAAGUCGAUAGUGAAAUCUCUGGGCUUAACCCAGAGGCUGCUAACGAAACUGUUGUGCUAGAGUGUGAGAGAGGCGAGUGGAAUUACGGGUGUAGCGGUGAAAUGCGUAGAUAUCCGUAGGAACAUCCGAGGCGAAGGCGGCUCGCUGGAUCACAACUGACGCUGAGGGACGAAAGCUAGGGGAGCAAACAGGAUUAGAUACCCUGGUAGUCCUAGCCCUAAACCAUCAGGACUUGGGGUUUGCCCUGUACGGGGCAAGUCCCGUAGCUAACGCGUUAAGUCCUGCGCCUGGGGAGUACGGUCGCAAGGCUGAAACUCAAAGGAAUUGACGGGGGCCCCCACAAGCGGUGGAACAUGUGGUUCAAUUCGACGCACCCGAAGAACCUUACCUGGGCUUGAACC